rnacentral:rRNA from 1 species
UACGUAGGGUGCGAGCGUUGUCCGGAAUUAUUGGGCGUAAAGGGCUCGUAGGCGGUUUGUCGCGUCGGGAGUGAAAACCCAGGGCUUAACCCUGGGCUGGCUUCCGAUACGGGCAGACUAGAGGUAUGCAGGGGAGAACGGAAUUCCUGGUGUAGCGGUGAAAUGCGCAGAUAUCUGGAGGAAUACCGGUGGCGAAGGCGGCAUCCUGGACCGGAAUUGACACUGAGGAGCGAAAGCCAGGGGAGCAAACGGG